AUGGCGUACAGGGCGGAGGACGACUACGACUACCUGUUCAAGGUGGUGCUGAUCGGGGACUCCGGGGUGGGCAAGUCCAACCUGCUCACCCGCUUCACCCGCAACGAGUUCAGCCUCGAGUCCAAGUCCACCAUCGGCGUCGAGUUCGCCACCCGCAGCAUCCACGUCGACGACAAGGUCGUCAAGGCCCAGAUCUGGGACACCGCCGGCCAGGAGAGGUACCGGGCGAUCACGAGCGCGUACUACCGCGGGGCGGUCGGCGCCCUGGUGGUCUACGACGUCACGAGGCACGUCACCUUCGAGAACGUCGAGAGGUGGCUGAGGGAGCUCAAGGACCACACGGACGCCAACAUCGUGAUCAUGCUCGUGGGGAACAAGGCCGACCUGCGCCACCUCAGGGUCGUCCCGUCCGAGGACGCCAAGGCCUUUGCCGAGCGCGAGAACACCUUCUUCAUGGAGACGUCCGCCCUCGAGGCGAUGAACGUCGAGGACGCCUUCACCGAGGUGCUCUCCCAGAUCUACCGCGUGGUGAGCAAGAAGGCCCUCGACAUCGGCGACGACCCCGCCGCGCCCCCCAAGGGCAAGACCAUCAACGUCGGCUCCAAGGACGACGUCUCCGCGGUGAAGAAAUCCAACUGUUGUUCCUCUUAG
rnacentral:rRNA from 1 species